GCAGCCUCAGCCGCAGAGUCUUCAGCUUUUCCCCCAGGGAGUUCACGUGCUCCUUGAUGUCUGGGUCGUGGUUCUCAGCCUGGGGCAUCACCUCCUCCAAGUAAAACUGGAUCAUCUCCGACAAGGCUUGGCAACCCAGCUCCUGAUUCCUUGACUCAGAUAGUAUUAAAUCACUCCGAAUUCUCUUGGCCGGCACCAACAACCAGAGGGCGCUGUCUAAGAAGUGAGCAGUGUGUGGAGUUGCAAUGAAGGCUGGUCAAACGUAAGAGAACGAAAUCCUCCUUUCAUGGAAAGGGAGCACAUGAAAAGAUGCUCCCCGUCCCCCCCAUCAAGGAAGUGCAAAUCAACAUCACCAUGAGCUCGCACCUCACACCUGUCAAAAAAUAUCAAAGUACCAAAAAGACAAGAAAUAAUAAGUGUUGGUGAGGAUGCGGAGAAAAAGAAACAUCCCUGCACAGUUGGGUGGGAACGCAAAGUGGUGCAGCCACUCUGGAGAACAGUAUGGAGGUUCCUCAAAAAACUAAAAAUAGGACUAGCAUAUGAUCCAGCAAUUCUGCUUCUGGGUGUUUGUCUGAAGAAAACAGAACUAACUUGAAAAGAUAUCUGCGCCCCAGGGUUCACUAGGGCAUUGAAUAGCCAAGACAUGGAAACAACCCAAGUGUCCAGUGUCCAUUGAUGAAUGGAUGAAGAAAAUGCGGUAUAUGUAUAUUAUUCAGGCUUUAA